AGAAGCCUUAUGGUACCAACCUAAAUUGGUAGAAUUAAGGAAGUUUUUAGUUCCCCUGCUAAUUCAGAGAUAUAUAGAAAGCCUGCAUUUUUCAACCACCUUUGGCAAUUUGCUGUUCAGUAGUUGAGCAGCUCCCUGGUGGACACCUUGGCUGGAUGUUGGCCGGAGCGUGACGUUACUCAACUGGCUCAGAAGAAAUGGUGAGCGAAGACGAUUACGAAAUGUGAAUGCUGCCGCAGGAGUUACAGAGUGUGGACAUCAACCUGCAGUCAUUCUGGUCAAACUGAUGUUCUGCAGAGGAGGAGUGCAACACUUCCUGUUGCGACGUACCCUGUAUCCUGUUUUCCACAGUCAGUGGUCAUGCGUGUCAUUCCCCUCUGCGAGGCUGUGUGGGCACGAUCUCGUGACCCUGCGCUCUGAAUGUUUUCUGUGACUGAAUUCAAGAGAGACUCUGCACGUCUGAAAAAACCUCAACAUCAGCAGAAAGCAGCUCAAACAGCUCCAGAAGCACUCAGAUCAGUGGCUUCAGUCUGCUUUGCUAAAACUUGCUGAUUUGUCACGUAUGCUGUGCUCUGCAGUGUUGUGUAAGUCCGCUGUGACAACCAGCAGGCUGAGCUUCCUUCAGAACAUCAGUACCACCUUAAAAUAAGUGCAGUGAUGAGAGCAGCGACACCUCCACAUGUUAGGGCCCGAAUACUGGAGAGAGCAAACUGUAGCCGUGAACUCAGAGGUGCCAGCAGAGUGUGUUUGUGGCUUCAGCUGCCACUGAUACGCAUCUUGUGAAUGCAUUCAGAGUGAAAACUGUCAAGUGCUCAGCUACGCCCAAACUAAAAGGCAGUUCUUGUUCUGAGCUCUGAGUUUAUCAUCUCACACUGUCACAUACACUCAGACAGAUAAACCUGCUCGUCACAUUAGACCUGUUGUUCAGACUGUUCAGUUCAAGCAGGCAGACACAAUAACCUGUCCAGGAUCAGCCAACAGGCCGUAUCGGUGGCAGACAUGUUGGUUUCUCAAAGCGCAGGUGGCUGCAUUCCCCCAGAGGAGGUCCUGCUAGCGUGCAUGUGGCUCAGCGCUAAAUGGACCUGAGCCGUGUGAAUGUUUCCCUACAGCUGCACGUCAGCGCUUUGGCAAGUCAACGCGUCGGCUGCAGGAGCGAUCCACAGCUGGUCGGCUCGCUGUGUUCUGACCGCGCUCAGUGACAGAAGAUGUGUGGACAUUUGGGACUUUUUUACAUUUUGGUAAAUGUGUGGAUUUGCUUUGUUGCCAAGUGAACUGGCAGCCAGACAGGAGGGAACGUCGAGCCUGGCUCCUCCAAAGAACCUAAAUCCUCCUCCUAGAGCCUUGAACAAAGGAGCUGCAUGUUAGAUCUCGUCUGUCAGAAACAGUCCAGAAGCCCACAGUCACACUUUGGUCUGAACUCAGCUUCAGAAAACUCUUUAUUAAAACAAGAGAAGCAGCCUACGGAUUAAAAACUGAAUUACGAAGCAGUAAAACUCAGUGUCGCUCAUUCAAACAGGGAUUUUGCUGAAGUCAGCUAAUGUGGGAGCGUUUGACCUCUGACCUGCUGAACCGACAUCACGGCUGCAGUUUGCUGAUUUUCUGAUUUCCCUCUGCUUGUGCUGCAUUAUGUCUGAACAGCAGUUGCUGCUGUUCAGCAAAAGUUUUAAAGUCUUUCUUUAACCCCUGAACACAAACAGACCAUGUAGCUGCUGUUUUAAAUGGCAGCAGGUCUCUGAGUCACAUGUGACAGAUUAUAAAUCAUCCUAAACGCAGUGUCUCAUGGUUCAGAGUGUACGUAGAAGAACAUCAGGCUCUCUGUCCUCUGUAUGGGCUUCAUGAGUUAAAUCUCUGCGUUGUGGACGUGACGUUCCCCGUCAGAGUCCGACAGACAAAAUGUUCCCCCGUGUUUGGCCAACAUGUGGCUCAGCUUUAGUCUGUAAGUGUUAUUAGCAAAACGUGAUUCAUCAGAGGCGACCAGUGCAGAUCAAUGAGUAGCUCUGAUCAGUGAUCCAUCAGCUCCAUCUGUGACAGGACAUCACACCUGACAAGCUCCUUAGGAAGCAGCGUGUCGAAGCCGAUAACGUAGUAAAGUCCUGAAUGUCAUGACUUUUGGCUGUUUACUACAUUUGCAAAGAUUUUAUUUUAUUUUUUUCAGGCCAAUAACAUCCCAAUUCAUUACGUUUUGGGUUCAGGACUUUCGUUUUUGGCCUAUUACGUUUUAAACAUUUAUUCCACUAUCGGCUGUUUUCUCGUUAUCGGCUUCUACACGGCAUCUCGUGUCAGUUGCCAAACAAAGAACCUCCAACAUGAGUAAAUGAACUCAGUUAAAGUCCACAUCUGGUCUGUGGUGGAGCUUCUGGGUGUCUGAAAUGAAUCAGCACCUGUGACACAGACUAAACUGAAACUGGACAUUGUGUGUGUUGGCUCUGGUUCUGUUCAUGUCCUGGUGUCCUCUGACAUAUCUGCUGAUAUUAUUGGAGUCGUGCUGAUGAAGGCGUCUGCACAUCUGCCAGUGGUCCAGUGAAAUAAUGCAACCUGACUACUUACAUACAGCAUGUAGUGAAACCUCUGCCUGCGUCCUUAAGCUGAGCGUGAGCGUGGCCGGUGUGCAUUGACAUGAUGAGUCAGAGUCAGAAGUCACAUCCACAUGACAGACUGAGACUCUGCAGGACAACAGCGGCUGACAUGCGGUCGGUCAGGGUGGUGGUUUGAUGCUGUUUUCAUGGUGUUGCAAUCUGCUGCAGGAUGUGAACGAAGAAGAGUGACGGCCUUACCUGGACGCUGACUGACCUGAAUGAGCUAUUUGUUCAUAAGAGAGAGAAACAGGCUGUGGCUGAUCUGCAUGUCAGUAACAAACUGCUGAGCUGUGUGGGAAUGAUUUAGGUGUAAUAAAGCCGAGCGUGUAAUCUGCCACCAUC